AUAAGGAAGCUAGAGAAGAAGAAGAUUUCAAGGGGAAAUCAAAUCUAAUUGCUGAAAUUAAAAUUUGAGGUGAGCAAAGGGAUGUCCAAACCCAACCUCAGUGAAAGAUAUGAGAGGAAGUGAAGUUUUGUGGAGUCAGCCCGCAUGUCUCACGAACGAGACUUUAUUUUUGUUCAUGUGUUUACACUUUUGCUUUAUCGUUGAAUACGUUAGAUCAUCCAUGCAUAUAAGUUUGUUUUGUUUGGCUGACUGCAUGUCUUGAAGUUCCUGGAUGUAUAAGAUAUUAACUCUGUUUUUAUGUGUGAGUUAUUAUGGACUGUUUAUGAAAUGUUUCGCUUUAUCAUGUAA